CGUAGGGUGCGAGCGUUAAUCGGAAUUACUGGGCGUAAAGCGUGCGCAGGCGGUUUUGUAAGACAGGCGUGAAAUCCCCGAGCUCAACCUGGGAACUGCGCUUGUGACUGCAAGGCUAGAGUACGGCAGAGGGGGUGGAAUUCCACGUGUAGCAGUGAAAUGCGUAGAGAUGUGGAGGAACACCAAUGGCGAAGGCAGCCCCCUGGGUCGAUACUGACGCUCAUGCACGAAAGCGUGGGUAGCAAACAGGAUUAGAUACCCUGGUAGUCCACGCCCUAAACGAUGUCAACUAGGUGUUGGGUGGGUAAAACCAUUUAGUACCGGAGCUAACGCGUGAAGUUGACCGCCUGGGGAGUACGGCCGCAAGGUUA
rnacentral:rRNA from 1 species